rnacentral:rRNA from 1 species
GGGGGUAGUCCGUACGAGCGCACCCUUGUCCUUAGUUACCAGCACGUUAAGGUGGGCACUCUAAGGAGACUGCCGGUGACAAACCGGAGGAAGGUGGGGAUGACGUCAAGUCAUCAUGGCCCUUACGGCCUGGGCUACACACGUGCUACAAUGGUCGGUACAAAGGGUUGCCAAGCCGCGAGGUGGAGCUAAUCCCAUAAAACCGAUCGUAGUCCGGAUCGCAGUCUGCAACUCGACUGCGUGAAGUCGGAAUCGCUAGUAAUCGUGAAUCAGAAUGUCACGGUGAAUACGUUCCCGGGCCUUUGUACACCCCCGCCCCGUA